rnacentral:rRNA from 1 species
UAUAAAGUGGCGAACGGCUGAGUAACACGUGGGCAACCUGCCCUUUGCACUGGGAUAGCCUCGGGAAACCGAGGUUAAUACCGGAUACUCCAUAUUUGUCGCAUGGCGAAUAUGGGAAAGCUCCGGCGGCAAAGGAUGGGCCCGCGGCCUGUUAGCUAGUUGGUGGGGUAGUGGCCUACCAAGGCAAUGAUGGGUAGCCGGGUUGAGAGACCGACCGGCCAGAUUGGGACUGAGACACGGCCCAGACUCCUACGGGAGGCAGCAGCC